GACGAACGCUGGCGGCGUGCUUAACACAUGCAAGUCGAACGGACAGGCCCUGCUUUUGUGGGGUUCUCGAUUGGCGAACGGGUGAGUAACACGUGAGUAACCUGCCCUUGACUUUGGGAUAACUUCAGGAAACUGGGGCUAAUACCGGAUAGGAUCUCCUGCUGCAUGUGGUGGGUUGGAAAGUUUCGGCGGUUGUGGAUGGACUCGCGGCUUAUCAGCUUGUUGGUGGGGUAGUGGCUUACCAAGGCUUUGACGGGUAGCCGGCCUGAGAGGGUGACCGGCCACAUUGGGCCUGAGAGACGGACCAGAAUCCUACGGGAGGCAGCAGUCGGGAAUAUUGCACAAUGGGCGGACGCCUGAUGCAGAAACGCCGCGUGCGGGAUGACGGCCUUCGGGUUGUAAACAGCUUUCGACUGUGACGAAGAGUGAGUGACGGUAAUGGGUAAAGAAGCACCGGCUAACUACGUG
rnacentral:rRNA from 1 species